GCUGCCCUCAAGCACGGCUUGUGUGUUGGGUCGCCGUCCCCUUCCCGGGGGACGGGCCCGAAAGGCAGCGGCGGCACCGCGUCCGGUCCUCGAGCGUAUGGGGCUUUGUCACCCGCUCUGUAGGC
rnacentral:misc_RNA from 2 species